rnacentral:rRNA from 1 species
GCAAGUCGAACGAGACCUUCGGGUCUAGUGGCGCACGGGUGCGUAACGCGUGGGAAUCUGCCCWWRGGUUCGGAAUAACWCKKRGAAAYSCGUGCUAAUACCGGAUAAUGUCUUCGGACCAAAGAUUUAUUGCCUUUGGAUGAGCCCGCGUCGGAUUAGCUAGUUGGUGAGGUAAAAGCUCACCAAGGCGACGAUCCGUAGCUGGUCUGAGAGGAUGAUCAGCCACACUGGGACUGAGACACGGCCCAGACUCCUACGGGAGGCAGCAGUGGGGAAUAUUGGACAAUGGGCGAAAGCCUGAUCCAGCAAUGCCGCGUGAGUGAUGAAGGCCUUAGGGUUGUAAAGCUCUUUUGCCCGGGAUGAUAAUGACAGUACCGGGAGAAUAAGCUCCGGCUAACUCCGUGCCAGCAGCCGCGGUAAUACGGAGGGAGCUAGCGUUGUUCGGAAUUACUGGGCGUAAAGCGCGCGUAGGCGGCUUUGUAAGUUAGAGGUGAAAGCCCGGGGCUCAACCCCGGARCAGCCUUUAAGACUGCAUCGCUAGAAUCCGGGAGAGGUGAGUGGAAUUCCGAGUGUAGAGGUGAAAUUCGUAGAUAUUCGGAAGAACACCAGUGGCGAAGGCGGCUCACUGGACCGGCAUUGACGCUGAGGUGCGAAAGCGUGGGGAGCAAA